rnacentral:rRNA from 1 species
AACGGAAAGGCCCUUCGGGGUACUCGAGUGGCGAACGGGUGAGUAACACGUGGGUGAUCUGCCCUGCACUUCGGGAUAAGCCUGGGAAACUGGGUCUAAUACCGGAUAGGACUACGCGAUGCAUGUCGUGUGGUGGAAAGCUUUUGCGGUGUGGGAUGGGCCCGCGGCCUAUCAGCUUGUUGGUGAGGUUAUGGCUUACCAAGGCGACGACGGGUAGCCGGCCUGAGAGGGUGACCGGCCACACUGGGACUGAGAUACGGCCCAGACUCCUACGGGAGGCAGCAGUGGGGAAUAUUGCACAAUGGGCGCAAGCCUGAUGCAGCGACGCCGCGUGAGGGAUGACGGCCUUCGGGUUGUAAACCUCUUUCGCUCACGACGAAGCGCAAGUGACGGUAGUGAGAGAAGAAGGACCGGCCAACUACGUGCCAGCAGCCGCGGUAAUACGUAGGGUCCGAGCGUUGUCCGGAAUUACUGGGCGUAAAGAGCUCGUAGGUGGUUUGUCGCGUUGUUCGUGAAAACUCACAGCUCAACUGUGGGCGUGCGGGCGAUACGGGCAGACUGGAGUACUGCAGGGGAGACUGGAAUUCCUGGUGUAGCGGUG